UGUGAACAAGACAGGCCAUUGAGAGCAUGCUGCUGGAGGAACAAUAUUAUUUUGCCAGUAAAAAAGCACCAAAGGUGGCAUGAACCAAUGAGAAGACUAAAGU